GCCUGCAUAGGUCAGUGGUAAGAUCGCCUUCUCUGAAUAGACGUGUUCAACAUUUCGGUAUGAAGGAGACGGAGGUUCGACUCCUCCUGCGGGCA